GCUAUGUUGGCCGGGCGACGGUUGUCCCGGUUUAAGCGUGUAGGCUGGUUUUCCAGGCAAAUCCGGAAAAUCAAGGCUGAGGCGUGAUGACGAGGCACUACGGUGCUGAAGCAACAAAUGCCCUGCUUCCAGGAAAAGCCUCUAAGCAUCAGGUAACAUCAAAUCGUACCCCAAACCGACACAGGUGGUCAGGUAGAGAAUACCAAGGCGCUUGAGAGAACUCGGGUGAAGGAACUAGGCAAAAUGGUGCCGUAACUUCGGGAGAAGG
rnacentral:rRNA from 1 species